UUGAUCAUGUGAUUACUCAUUUUUUUCCAGUUUGCAGUUGUGUAUUAUCCAGAUUAUUCUGGUUAUCACCACACUUAGCUUGGCUACAGCAAUACAUUAUUGAAUGAAAUAUUUUAUGUGAAAUGAUAAUCAUUCUUUAUCAUGUUUAUAAAAAUGUGUUUGGUUACUUCACAAAAGAUGAGAAUAACUGCAGUGACCUAAGGUUGGAACUUCAGCAAAGCUGAGAGAAGAUAAAAGUGGACCAACUGAAUAUAGCUAGAUAUAAUCAUAAGCUAAAAGAAUGUCUGAAGCAAAAAAAAGUAUUUCAUUCGAAAAUGGUGAUGAACCAUGUGUUCCAAUUACCCGUCCUGACUGUAUAGAAAUAAUGGAUCCUAUGAAAUCCAACUAUUCUACCAUCCAUGACUUGGAAGGAGGGCAGUUUGUAUCCAACUACUCGACUGUUACAAGCAAUAAUAGUGCUCCUUAUGUACGAGAUACUGCUCUUCUUCUUCAUCGAGAACAUAGAUUAUUUACACAAAGUCGGGAAGACAAAAUACGGAGACAAUCAAGAAAUGCCACAUUCUGUUUCAUUUUUGCAAUUUUUAUCAUUUUGGUAUUAGUUGUGAUUGCAGCAGUUUCUCUACAUCAUAAACUAACAGAUAAAAGUCAUAGUGAUGACUUAGACCACAAGAACAUUACCAUCUUUAAUGCAAUUGGUAAAAAGGAUAUAAAUCUCAACCUAGGUGAUACAAAGGCAGAUAAAAACAUGAACGUCAGUGACAUAAAAGAGAUGGCGCUGAAAAGUAACACUACCUCAAAUUUUUUUCUUUAGUAUAUAAAAAGCCCUGGUGACAAAAAAGUAAUUUUAUUAGGUUAUACUACUUGUUUUACUAUAAAAAGUAUGCGUUUUUGUUGAAUAAAAAAAGUUGAAAAUUGGAAAAGUAAGAUACAUGUAUACGUAAGAGAAUAAAAUUGGGGUUGUUAGAGCUGAAACCAUGUGUGACGUUGUUAGAGUUGAAACAAUGUGUGGCGUUGUUAGAGCUGAAACCAUGUGUGGUGUUGUUAAGAGCUGAAACCAUGUGUGGCGUUGUUAGAGCUGAAACCAUGUGUGGCGUUGUUAGAGUUGAAACCAUUGUGGCAUUGUUAGAGCUGAAAGUUCUGAAACUAUGUAUGUUUUGUAUGAGCAUGUUAGUUAUGUUUUGGUUGAAGUUAGGGUCAAUGGACAUGGUGAGAAUUGUGAUGUUUUAUUUAGAUUUUACUUUAACCGAACAAUUCAGAAUAGUUACGAGUAUUAAUUUUGCAAUAAUAAUGAUUUACAUGUGUCUCUCAGUUUAUUAAUUGCUUAGCCUUAGUUUGGCUCUGGGGCUAGUUGAUAUUUAUUUAAUUGCUUUAUAUUGUUUGAUAGUGCUAUAUAUUGUUUGGUUCUU